GAAUUUAUUUUAUUAACGAUACAUAAAGGAUUGAAUUUGUAUUUUAAAAUCUUCAUGACAGCUUCGUUUUUAACCAUGUUGAGAAGUACCCUUGCUCCUUAAGGACUACACCAGCGAGGUCCCUCAUCCACUUGAAGGACGUCGUCAUUGGUUCACUAAUGAAAACAUUGUGUAUGCCUAAAACCUCAAGAUAUGUUGGCAUCCAUCGAAGUACAGGUUUCAAAAAAAUGGGAAUUCCAUGAAAAUACAGACACCGGGCCCAUAUUACACAAUGAUAUGGUUUAAGCUGACAAAGAGGCAAGGACUAAUUAUCCUUUUUCCUAAUAACGUGACUCCUGCUUAGCCAGUUACAAUUUCAAGUAUGCUUAGCCAGUUACCAUCACACACCAAACAUUUAUCUUAAACAUCUCUACUAUCACUUUGUGCCAAUACUAUUUUACCUUCAAUUGCACUAUUCUUUCCAUUUGUUUCUUAAAGAACGUACGCUCCACACGCUGCCAACAAAUACUCAAAAAAUGAAUAUCAAUUAAUAAAUUACCAUAAUUUUAUGAAACUCUUCGUUUUUUUUUUGCUUUUGUUUGUUACGUAUGUUU